GCGGGUGUAGUAUAACGGUAUUAUGCCACCCUUCCAAGGUGGAGAAGCCGGUUCAAUUCCGGUCACCCGCU
rfam:Candidatus Buchananbacteria bacterium RIFCSPHIGHO2_02_FTLL_56_16 rifcsphigho2_02_scaffold_5834, whole genome shotgun sequence.